AACGAACGCUGGCGGCAUGCUUAACACAUGCAAGUCGAACGAAGUCUUCGGACUUAGUGGCGCACGGGUGAGUAACGCGUGGGAACCUGCCCUGAAGUGGGGAAUAACCACUGGAAACGGUGGCUAAUACCGCAUACGCCCUGAGGGGCAAAGGCUUCGGCCGCUUCAGGAUGGGCCCACGUCCGAUUAGCUAGUUGGUGGGGUAAUGGCCUACCAAGGCGACGAUCGGUAGCUGGUCUGAGAGGAUGAU
rnacentral:rRNA from 1 species